rnacentral:rRNA from 1 species
GAUGAACGCUGGUGGCGUGCCUAACACAUGCAAGUCGAGCGAUUCUCUUCGGAGAAGAGCGGCGGACGGGUGAGUAACGCGUGGGUAACCUGCCCUGUACACACGGAUAACAUACCGAAAGGUAUGCUAAUACGAGAUAAUAUGCUUUUAUCGCAUGGUAGAAGUAUCAAAGCUUUUGUGGUACAGGAUGGACCCGCGUCUGAUUAGCUAGUUGGUGAGGUAACGGCUCACCAAGGCGACGAUCAGUAGCCGACCUGAGAGGGUGAUCGGCCACAUUGGAACUGAGACACGGUCCAAACUCCUACGGGAGGCAGCAGUGGGGAAUAUUGCACAAUGGGCGAAAGCCUGAUGCAGCAACGCCGCGUGAGCGAUGAAGGCCUUCGGGUCGUAAAGCUCUGUCCUCAAGGAAGAUAAUGACGGUACUUGAGGAGGAAGCCCCGGCUAACUACGUG